GAUGAAGAACGCAGCGAAAUGCGAUAAGUAAUGUGAAUUGCAGAAUCCAGUGAAUCAUCGAAUCUUUGAACGCACAUUGCGCCCUCUGGUAUUCCGGAGGGCAUGCCUGUUCGAGCGUCAUUUCAACCCUCAAGCAUUGCUUGGUGUUGGGGCACCGCCUGUAAAAGGGCGGGCCCUGAAAUCUAGUGGCGAGCUCGCCAGGACCCCGAGCGUAGUAAUUAUAUUUCGUUCUGGAAGGCCCUGGCGGUGCCCUGCCGUUAAACCCCCAACUUCUGAAAAUUUGACCUCGGAUCAGGUAGGAAUACCCGCUGAACUUAAGCAUAUCAAUAAGCGGAGGA
rnacentral:misc_RNA from 1 species